UACCUUGUUCUACUGCAUUUGCAAAAAGAAAUACAAAUUCGCUAUUCACGAAAAAUUUCCUGUUGAUUGCUAAUUUAUUAUAAAUGGUGUAUCCUUUGUCCUCUCGAUACUCGAUACUAGUCAGAAUUGACGUUCUACUGUGAACUUUGACGUUACCAUCGUAUAAUGUCAUUACUGUUUAUUUUUAUUUUUGUAUAUCGAUUUAUUUUGUAUAUCGACAGAAUCAAAUCUGACAAAUGUUAGCCGUUUAAAUAUCACACAACAAUAGCGUCAUGCUACUUCGUGCUACUUCUAUCACCCGACAUAUCUCAUCACUGCGGCAUUUCAGAAGACAAUAAAAAAAUAUACGUGCAAUCUUCGGAGAAAAUAAGGAUUUCAAUCGUUUCUGGAGGAUUUCAACGAUCGUUGAUACAAAUGGACCAUCGUAACGCCGCGAGGAAAGAUUUGGAGGCCAGAAUAUUGAACCGGUACCGAAGAAUCCUGUUCCACAGGUGGCUGUAACAGAUCUUUGCUCAACACCGACGCGUCAGGGUUGCCUUACGAGUUUUUUCGAAGCUCAAACAGAUUCGUGCUGCUUUGUAAAUAAUCUUUCCUUAUCUUGUUAUACAGAUGUGGUUAACCGUAAGCAGAGAAAAAUGUAACAAAUUCCAAUAAAUCUCACAGAAUUUCGGAAAGUGAUAUCAAAAAUAGUCGUUGAAAACUUUCAUUUGGUUCACUUGAUUUCAGUUUGAAAAAUUUUGCUUUUAAUAAAGAUAUGGAUAAA